rnacentral:rRNA from 1 species
AUACGGAGGGUGCAAGCGUUAAUCGGAAUCACUGGGCGUAAAGCGCACGCAGGCGGUUUGCUAAGUCAGAUGUGAAAGCCCCGGGCUUAACCUGGGAACUGCAUUUGAUACUGGCAAACUAGAGUAUGGGAGAGAGAAGUAGAAUUCCACAUGUAGCGGUGAAAUGCGUAGAGAUGUGGAGGAAUAUCAGUGGCGAAGGCGACUUCUUGGCCCAAUACUGACGCUCAGGUGCGAAAGCGUGGGGAGCAAACAGGAUUAGAAACCCCGGUAGUCC